GUCUCCUUCUUCAGGAGCCUUCCAGACCCUCUCCUGCAGUGGCUGACCUCUUGCCCUGCGCCUCCUUUUGUCUUGCACGGACCCGACACAGGGCAUGACUUGGUAGCAGGUGGCUUAGGAAAAAAACGGAGGGCAGGACUUAAUGGUUUUUUGUGGUGGGAAAUUCCGGGGGGUAGAGCUGGCUUCAGACAUAGCUGGGACAAAGGGUUAAACCGUGCCUCUGGGACCCUGCUUCUGGCUCUGGAUAGGCUCUGCCUUCCUUGGGGCAGCCUCUCUCUCAGCAGUUUCCAGGAGCCCCUCGGAGCCCCUCACCUGACCCUUCUUACUUCAGGCUCAACGCACGACUUCACGCUCUCAGCAGCCCCACAAAAGCCCCAGAAUCGAGUCUCAUUGGUCCGGCUUGGUCACCUGCCAAUUCUUGAGCCAAUCACUAUGGCCACGGGAAUCAGCAGCUCUGAUUGGCCCAGCCUGCGUCACGUGGUCGACUCCGGCGCGAGCGGUGCUGGGACGCGGAGGGGUGACGUCGGGAGGCAAGCCGGAGCUCUGGAGGCGGAGGCUGAGCGGCUGAGGCGCUGGCGCCGAAGUGCGCCCCUUGGACCGCUGCUGGGGCGCUUCUCACACUGUGGUUGGCUCCAUUAUCAGGAUUUUCCUAAUGGCCACAAGAUAGUUGCCAGCAAUAUUGGUUCACACUCAACGUGAAAAAGGUGAGCCUCUGUCCCAGCAUUCUUAGCAAAUCCUGAGAUUUACUUUGACUAAGCAGGGUAAGGAGAUCAUGAACCCGGCACCAUGGCCCAAGGAAUGCAACCACACUUACUGGCUGACACCAGGCCACACCUUUUCACUAGAAAAGGUUCAUAAUAUCUCUAAUAUCAGGACAAAGUUGCCCUAACAUGCCACCCUUAACUUAGAAGUUCAAAUAAAGAAAAUAAUAUCCAACAAUGCUUCCAGCAUAUGAAUCACUAACCUAGCAGGCCUUGACCACAAUCCUGAGAAGUAAAUACCUCUUAGACAUCAGGUGAAGAGGCUCAGAGACAUCACUUUGGACAAAGAAUGUGCAAAGCUACCUCCCCCCAAAAUUGAGGGUUCUUGCUAGCAGCAUGGGAUACUGGCAAGACAAACUGCAGAAAUCUACUACCUGUGUCAGCCUAAAGCUGUGGUCCAAGGAGCCCAGCAUUGAGCCUUCUCAUUGAUGUAUUCCCCUGGGACCCAGUGUCCCUGCUCUGGCCACAGGCCCAUGACUCAGAUAGGUGUUGGGAAAAUGGACUUAACACUACCUGCUUGGGUGUUGUGAGCAAUCAACAGGUCACCAUAAGUAAAUGCCUAGCUCAUUGUGUGGAGGCAGUGCUUUAUGCCACCAAAGUCAUUUCCAAUGUUCCUACCUCUCUGUAGGAAGAUUGGAGCCAUGGGACUGAGUUCUGGCCAAUGGACUCUGGAUGGGAAUGGCAUACAUAUUGAUGGGGUGGCCUGGCCACCUUCUAGUCUUGGAGAGCAGAAGCAAAGUGCUCUGAGAAACUGGAGCCAUCUUGUGAAUAAGCCCUAAUACCUUAGUCACUGCGUGGAGGCAAGCCACCCAGGAGGUCAACUGGAUCCAGGUACACUGGACUUUGUGACACCAGCAACUAAACCUUUGAGGGACGCCUGGGUGGCUCAGUGGUUGAGUGCCUGCCUUUGGCUCAGGUCAUGAUCCUGGGGUCCUGAGAUUGAGUCCCUGCAUCAGGCUCCCCGUAGGGAGCCUGCUUCUCUCUCUACCUAUGUCUCUGCCUCUCUGUGUGUGUCUCAUGAAUAAACAAAUAAAAUCUUAAAAAAAAAUACCCAAAAAACUAAACCUUUGAUAUGUUAAGUCACUGGUUCUCAAAGAGGGCAUUUGAUAAUAUCUGGAGACAUUUGGGUUGUCACAGUGAGAGGUCGGAUGGGGUGAGACAUCUAGUGGGUAGAAGGCGGGGAUUCUGUUAAGUGCCCUACAAUGCCCAGGACAGCCCCCCUCAGAGAAUUACUUGGCCCAAAAUGUCAACAGCACUAAGGUUAAGAAACUCUGCUCUAAAUGUGAGCACUGUGAGAGAAAAGAUUUGUUAUGGCUCUGUUUAGAAUCCUCCAAUGGCUUCCAUCACACCCAGGAUAAAUUCUGGACCUCUCCCCUUGAUCUACAAGGCUCUGCAGGAUGGGGAUCCUGCCCACCUCUCUUACCUUUACAUCCUAGCCUCUCCCCCUCCCUCACUUGAUGCCAAGUAGCUUUGCCUUCAUCUGACCUCUUUUAGACUUCAGGGCCUUUGUACCUGCUGUUGCCUCUAUCUUAAAUGCACUUCCUCCUGCUCUUCCAAUUACCCAGGUACAAUUUACAUGUCCCUAGCUCAGAGACACCUUCCUUAACCACACAGUCUGUAUUAGAUCCCCUACCACCCAGUGAUUCUCCGUUAUCACACUACAUUACCAUUAUCAGCGAUCACAACAAGCCUGAUUUAUAAUGAGGUAACAUGCUGGUUACCCAGGAGGGGAGAGAUCUGUUUUCCCCAUGGAGUGUGAGGACAUGAGGAGAGCACCAUGCCUAUGUCAUUUAUUUCUGUCUCUCUGGCACCUGGCACAAUAGCUGGCACAUAUGUAAAGGUAAAAAAUAAAUGUGUUGAAUGAAUGAGUAGAUGAGUAAUGGGUAGAAAGAGCAGAGUCUUUGCAGUCGGACACACCCCUGGACUGAAUUCUGGCUCCACCACCAGCUGUGAGUCAUCGUCACUCUCCAAGCCUCCAUCUGCUCAUCUGUAAAAUGGACGUAAGAAUCUCAUCUCCCAGGCUACUAUGAGGAUGAAAGACAGCAAAUGCAGAGUGCCGGCAUGAUUCCCAGCACAGAAUAAGCACUUGUAAGCUGUGUGCUGAAUAUCAAAUGCACAGAUAAACACAUUUCCCUGUGUGCUGUCAUUUUGAAGGCGAAAGCUGGGAAGGAAGGUUGGCAGAUGAAGUUGGGAUGCCAGAACCCAGUUUACCCAGCACCUUCUGCUUCUCUCUCUCUAUCAAUGAUCCCACCCCCCUGCUUCAAGACCAUGAACUUAGGUCCCUUCUCCCAAAGUCAAAGGACCCAGGCUGUGGAUUUUCCUGCAGCCUGCCUCUGCCUUGCAGGAUCCAGGAGUGAUGCAGCCAUCAUUAGGGUCUCUCUAGUGAGAUUCAUAGCCCCUCCCUAAGGGUGUCUCCCACCCCCCUGCCUCUAUCUGUGUCCAUCUAGACCAUGCAGGAAAUGAAAGUAGGCAGCAGAUCAUUUGCAAUAAAGAGCUCCGUGAUUCCCUGUGAUGUCUGCAAAAAUGAAUAUGAUUCAGGGCCUCUUUCUUUCAAAAAGAGUCUCAUAGCAAACUUGAGGCCCUAAAGGAACUUGGAUCGUUUCUACCUCUGGGUGUGUGAAGAGUGGGGAUGGCAGGCAGGAUGCAGAGAAGGUGGUGAACUGGUGGAAAGAUGGGUGCAGAAGCCCCAUCUUAUAGGAGAGACAGGAAUGUGAGGUUGGGAGCUCCCGCCUGGUUUCAGUGUCCACACUGAACCUCCCUAAGUCUCAUUUCCCUCAGCUGUAAAAGGAGAUGGCAACAGGCCCUGCCAGGUUAGGUUAUCAUGAAAAGCAAAUGGGGUAAAACUUGUACAGCACCACUUGACCUUGGCUGACCCAGGUAACUUGCUUCCAAAGAGUAGGUAUGCAAAGGGCUAAAGAUACCUUAAUAGUAGAGAAAUCUACAAACCUGGCCUCAGGUCUGGUGAUCAAAGUUAAUGUCAGUGAUCGGUGACUUCAGUAGAGUCACUAAAGCUUCAGCUUCACAAGCUGGACUCCAAACAGCCUGACCUGGAUAGGGGUGCAUUAAGAUGAACCAGUUUUCUCUUGCCCCAUCUCUGCAGCCAGGCUCUCUGGCCACCCUUCUUUGGCACUUACUAAUGACACCUCAGGCAGUUUACAACCCCAGGGCUCUCUGGGGUGGAGAUUUUAGAUCCCCUCCUCCCAGCCAGUGCUGUGGAUGCACCAGCUGUCCUCUUCAAGCCUGGUGGUGGAGCCUGUUUUGGGUUGGAAUGUGUCCCUGCAGGAUGCCUGGGUGGCUCAGUGGUUGAACGGAUGCUUUGGGCUCUGGGCAUGAUCUCAGGGUCCAGGGAUCGAAUCCCGCAUCGGGCUCCCUGCAGGGAACCUGCUUCUCCCUCUGCCUAUGUCUCUGCUUCUCUCUCUUUGUCUCUCAUGAAUACAUAAAUAAAAUCUUAAAAAAAAAAAAAAAAAAAGGAAAAGAAAUGUGUCCCUGCCAUCAAAUGAUGGGUUGAAGUCUCAACCCCAGUGUCUCAGAAUGUGACCUUAUUUGGAAAUAUGGUCAUUAACAGGUGUGAUUAGUUAAGAAGAAGUCAUAUGGAGGAGGCUGGGCCCCAAUCCAAUAUGCCCAGCAGCCUUAUAAGACGGCCACAUGAAGACAGAGACGUAGGGAGACGACCAAGCAAAGAUGGGACAAUUGGAGUGAUGCAUCCACAAGCCAAGGGACACCAAAGACUGCCAGCAAACCACUAGAAGCUAAGAAGAGGUAAGAAGAGGUGAGGAAUGACUCCCCAACAGACUGCAGAAGGAGUGUGGUCUGCUGGCACCUUGAUCUCAGACUUUCAGCCCCCAGAACUAUGAGACAGCGUCCUAUUGUCUUAAGCCACCAUGCUUGGGCCUGAGAAACUAACACAGGGCAGAAGGAAGGGUCUGCUUUUCACGACUUCACGGCUUUCAACAUCUUCUGAGGGAUGCCCCCAUUCCAUCAUUGCCAGGUCUCUGACUUGCCCUCUGUGCCCCCUCCCUGGAGCCCCUCACCUGGCCUCAGGCUCCUCUGCUCCCUCCCUGCAGUGAGGCUGGUGUGGGGUUGAACAUGGUAAGGCUUCUUCCCCCACUCUUUCUUUUCAAAUUCACUGAUUUGAGGUUGGGAGUGACACUCAGGCCCCUGUGAUGAGCCGUUUUCUCCAGGCUGUAGAAAUCUUAGUACCUCUUGUAUUCAACUGGAGCCUCAAGCACCAACUUCCCAGGUGGCAGGACAAGCCCCGCUCACCAUCCCGUUACUCCAGAUUGCAAGCCCAGGUGGGUUCUCCAGGCCCCCAAAUGAUCCUUGUCACACCCCAGCCUGUACCUCGGGUCUCCUGGCAUUCACCUGCUUGGGCCCUGCUACCUACAAUGACCUAAUGACAGGUGA
rnacentral:lncRNA from 1 species